AUUUAUAUAGUUUAAACAAAACAAUACAUUUUCAUUGUAUAAAUAAUAUACCAGUAUUUAUAAAUA
rnacentral:tRNA from 1 species